rnacentral:antisense_RNA from 1 species
GCCAACAGGAGCUGGUAAUCAGGAUGGCAGUGAGGCAGGCACUUGCUUGCAGAAGAACAGGCCUAGUUUUUUAAGAAGCCACAAAAGUGUCUUUGGAUGAUUAGGAUCUAAGGGGCCAACAGCUUUGCAAUAACAGCAUAAAUAUUGUGGGCUGGAUGGACAGGCACCAAAUGGGGACAUUCCAUCCUGCUGUGUGAUGAGAAAGCUGCCACUUCUGAGGCCUUCCAAAACAAAUCAACACUCCAUAUGCCAGAAGGAAAAGCCCAGGAAAGACCUAUUCCAACUGGAGAUGAUUGCUGUGUUCUUGUUUCUAGGAAUAUGAAGGGAGAAUGAAACAAAACUGCUCCGCUCAGGGAACUUGGAAAGGAAAUUGAAAAGGCAAGGCACAGGCUGGAAGAAAAUAUUUGAAAAAGAUUUAUGUGAACUUCUUUCUGGAUUAUACAAAAUAUUUUUAGAUAUUCUUACAACUCUAAAAUAAGAUAACUCCUUAAAAAUGUGAAUUCUACCAAAGGAGAGAUGAAGAUGACGAAUAUAUUCAAAGAUGCUGAAAAUCACUUAUUUAUUAUUAGGAAGUUACAAGCUAAAGCAUAAUGAGAUACCACUACAACCUACUAAACUGACUAAAAUUAAUCAGACUAACCAGGUGUUGGCAAGAAACA